rnacentral:misc_RNA from 1 species
GUACUCUCACACUCUCUUGUCCUUUGGAUUUGGGGAGUGGUGGACUUGGGUGUUUGCUGCUUUCCUUGUGGCUCGCCUCAAAUGUGGUAGUGCACCUCUUGGUUGGACAUAGUACGGCAUGAUAAGUGUCUUUGCCUGCACCUCGCAAGAGGGGGUGGCCAAUCAGGGCUCUGUGCUUCAAACUGUCUUCAGACAAUCUCUGACA